rnacentral:other from 1 species
GGCUGUCUGCGGUGCCGCCGGGCUGUAAUUCCUUGAACCAAUGCUCAUUGAGCCCGGGCUUGGUACAUCGCCUGGCGAGCGCGCUCAUCUCGCGUCAGAUGAACCCAACGCCAGGCUGCCCUCGCCCACCUGAACCCCCGGUUCAGGAUGCCGGUCCGGCGGCAUUCGCGGACACCUU